rnacentral:rRNA from 1 species
GAUGAACGCUGGCGGCGUGCCUAAUACAUGCAAGUCGAGCGAACAGACGAGGAGCUUGCUCCUCUGACGUUAGCGGCGGACGGGUGAGUAACACGUGGAUAACCUACCUAUAAGACUGGGAUAACUUCGGGAAACCGGAGCUAAUACCGGAUAAUAUAUUGAACCGCAUGGUUCAAUAGUGAAAGGAGGUUUUGCUGUCACUUAUAGAUGGAUCCGCGCCGCAUUAGCUAGUUGGUAAGGUAACGGCUUACCAAGGCGACGAUGCGUAGCCGACCUGAGAGGGUGAUCGGCCACACUGGAACUGAGACACGGUCCAGACUCCUACGGGAGGCAGCAGUAGGGAAUCUUCCGCAAUGGGCGAAAGCCUGACGGAGCAACGCCGCGUGAGUGAUGAAGGUCUUCGGAUCGUAAAACUCUGUUAUUAGGGAAGAACAAAUGUGUAAGUAACUAUGCACGUCUUGACGGUACCUAAUCAGAAAGCCACGGCUAACUACGUG